rnacentral:rRNA from 1 species
AUUGAACGCUGGCGGCAGGCCUAACACAUGCAAGUCGAGCGGAAGAAGGGAGCUUGCUCCUGGAUCCAGCGGCGGACGGGGGAGUGAUGCCCAGGAAUCUGCCUGGCAGGGGGGGAGAACGUCCUGAAACGGGCGCUAAUAACGCAUACGACGAGAUGCUGAAACAGGGGGAUCGUUGGACCGCACGCGAGCAGAGGAGCCUAGGUCGGAUUAGCUAGUUGGUGGGGUAAAGGCCGACCUAGGCGGCGAUCCGUAACUGGACGGAGUGGCUGAUUAGUCACCCUGGAACUGAGACACGGUCCAGGCGCCUACGGGACGCCGCAGUGGGGAAUGUUGGGCAGAGGGCGAAAGCCUGAUCCAGCCAUGCCGCGUGUGUGGCAAAGGUCUUCGGAUUGUGAAGCCCUUUAAGUUGUGAGGAAGGGCAGUAAGUUAAUACCUAGCUGUUUUGACGUUACCAACAAAAUAAGCACCGGCUAACUACGUG